CCCUUAGAUGUUCUGGGCCACACGCGCGCUACACUGACUACUUCAACGAGUUGUUUCCUUGAUCGAAAGGUCUGGGUAAUCUUUGAAAGGUAGUCGUGAUGGGGAUAGAUCCUUGCAAUUUUUGAUCUUCAACGAGGAAUUCCUAGUAAACGCAAGUCAUCAGCUUGCAUUGAUUACGUCCCUGCCCUUUGUACACACCGCCCGUCGCACCUACCGAUUGAAUGGUCCGGUGAAUCUUUAGGACUGUGGCUGAGGCCUUGCCUUGUGCGGGUCUGGCCGUGGGAAUUUAGUUAAACCUUACCAUUUAGAGGAAGGUGAAGUCGUAACA
rnacentral:rRNA from 1 species